rnacentral:rRNA from 1 species
CAGUAGGGAAUCUUCCACAAUGGGCGAAAGCCUGAUGGAGCAACGCCGCGUGUGUGAUGAAGGGUUUCGGCUCGGUAAAACACUGUUGUAAGAGAAGAAUGACAUUGAGAGUAACUGUUCAAUGUGUGACGGUAUCUUACCAGAAAGGAACGGCUAAAUACGUGCCAG